AAUGCAACCAGGUUAUGGAUUAACUACUCAGUGGUUUCUCUGAGAAGGGAGGAUUCUACAAUCUCAAUUUAAUACUUGGUUUAUUUCAAGAUUGCCCCCUGGAUCUCUUAAGCAAGUAUAUGGUUAAAUAUUGAACAAAGCAAAGGGUGAGGCUAUUCAUCUUUGAAGCAGGCUAUUUCAGCUUAAGUAGGAGUGUCUUGUUUUUCAUAAUGAGCCCCUUUGGAUCAUGCCUGAGAUUAUGCUAAUGAGGUAACUUAAGGUGGGGUCCCUACAUGACCUCAGGAUAGGGCUGGCACCAGAAAGACCAGGGAUUAGAAGGUUAAAACUUUCAACCAACCCACUGACAUUCAGAAAGGGGGCAGGGACUGGAGAUCAAGCUCCAUAAAAACUCUCGGACAUACAAUCUGAGGAGUUUCCAGAUUGCUGAAUACAUGGAGGUGUUCAGCAAUGGGAUGAAUGGCAUGCCCAGAGGCCAUAGAAGCUCCACACCUUUCCCCUCCCAUACCUAGCCGUAUGCACCUCUUCCAUCUGGCUGUUCAUUUCCUGGGCUCUGAGAAAAGGAGGAGGAUGCAGACUCUGCUAUUCAGAUCCACACAUUGAACCCCACUAUAACCAGUGACCUGAACUCUGAGUAGUGACCUGAGUCUGAGUAGGAGAAUCAAAGCCUUCCUGCCUAAGAACCACCUGCCUAGUAGUCACUCAUCUUCUACACUCCUCUAAAAUGUGACAGCCCUGCUCUUUUUGCCUGCUGUCAUCCACAUAAGAUGUAACUUUCUCCUUUUGCCAUCUGCCAUGAUUGUGAGACCUCUCCAGCCAGAUGGAACCGAAGUGGAGUCUCUGGAGCCGCCCAGCAGCAGCCUCAUUACUCAGAAGAUGCUGACGAAAACCUAGACGGGAAGAAAGGAAGAAAAAGCGUCCUCUAUGUUUAUAAAGUGUCACUGGUGACUGAAAUGGCAUGCUCUCUGAAGAUCUGGGGCAGUCCCUUGGCCCUGCUUUGCAUUCUUUGCAGGCUGCUUGUACAUAGCAAGGACGUUUCCUGGAAAGAAUUCAUGACACUGCGCUACUUAGAUCCAAGCUGAGAUUUUGAAGACUGCAAAUGUGAUGCCCUCAUGAGAGAAAAAGCGGUUCUGAAAGACAAGAGCUCUUAUAUGUCCAUCUAUAGCUUAUGGCACAAAAUGGAGUAUAUAUGCAUUAUUGAAGUGGGAAUAACUGAUGUAGAAAUGCCUAUGUAUGGGCCCAGGGUGCCAUCAAAGUACUCGAGUGUCAGUGGGAGAAGUACAACAAUAGCUACACAGAGAGCUUCAACUACAUUGAAUUCCACUGUUGCAAGGAUGGGUAUGUUGAUAGCAUAGGAGACCUGAGGAUGGUGGAGCCUGUCAACAACUAGAAGAUCUAUGCACAUCCUCAGGAAUUGGUAUUCAGUGCUUCCCAAGUGGUGGCCACUGCCUCCAUCAAUAGCCCCUGACAUUGCACUUAUGUGUCAGUGUUUUCCAAAACUUAGAAUUAUGAGUCGCAUGACUUCUUGAUACCAUAACCUUGCCUGUGUUGUUUCUCUGCCUGGAAUACACUUUUGUCUUCAUUUACCUAGUUUAUUCCUACACAUUUGUCAAGCUUCAGCUUGUAAUGCAUCUGAUGUUUGAUAACCAAGAUUUUUCCUGAUAUUCACUCUAAACCUACCCAGGGUGAAUGAUCUUCCCUUCCCUAAAUAAACUGUAUUAUCCAA